rnacentral:sRNA from 1 species
UUUGUAUUAACUGCCACCUAUGCAAUGGA